rnacentral:rRNA from 1 species
AUUGCACGCUGGCGGCAGGCCUAACACAUGCCAGUCGAGCGAGCGUCGGACGGGUGAGUAAUGUAUGGGGACUGCCCGCUAGAGGGGGAUAACUACUGGAAAAGGCGGCUAAUACCGCAUACUGUCGGAUAACCCAGAUGGGAUUGGCUAGUAGGUAAGGUAAUGGCUUACCUAGGCGACGAGCCCUAUCUGGUCUGAUAGGAUGAUCAGUCACACUGGGACGGAGACACGGCACAGACUCCGACGGAGGCAGCAGUGGGGAAGAUUGCACAAGGGGCGCAAGCCUGAUGCAGCCAUGCCGCGUGUAUGAAGAAGGCCCUAGGGUUGUAAAGUACUUUCAGUCGGGCGGCGUUACUGACAGAAGAAGCACCGGCUAACGCCGUGCCAGCAGCCGCGGUAAUUC